UACGGGGGGGGUAAGCGUUGUUCGGAAUUACUGGGCGUAAAGGGCUCGUAGGCGGCCAACUAAGUCGGACGUGAAAUCCCUCAGCUUAACUGGGGAACUGCGUCCGAUACUGGAUGGCUUGGAUUUGGGAGAGGGAUGCGGAAUUCCAGGUGUAGCGGUGAAAUGCGUAGAUAUCUGGAGGAACACCGGUGGCGAAGGCGGCAUCCUGGACCAAUAUUGGACGCUGAGGAGCGAAAGCUAGGGGAGCAAACGGG
rnacentral:rRNA from 1 species